rnacentral:rRNA from 1 species
UACGUAGGUGGCAAGCGUUGUCCGGAUUUACUGGGCGUAAAGAGCGCGCAGGCGGUCGUUCAAGUCGCGUGUGAAAGCCCCCGGCUCAACUGGGGAGGGUCACGCGAUACUGAUCGACUCGAAGGCAGGAGAGGGAAGUGGAAUUCCCGGUGUAGUGGUGAAAUGCGUAGAUAUCGAGAGGAACACCUGCGGCGAAGGCGGGUUGCUGGGCUGACACUGACGCUGAGGCGCGAAAGCUAGGGGAGCGAACGGG